AAGUCGUAACAAGGUCUCCGUUGGUGAACCAGCGGAGGGAUCAUUACCGAGUUUACAACUCCCAAACCCUGUGAACAUACCUUAAUGUUGCCUCGCGGAUCAGCCGCGCCGGUAAAACGGGACGGCCGCCAGAGGAUCCAAACUCUUGCUGUUAUUGUAACUUCUGAGUAAAACAAACAAAUAAAUCAAAACUUUCACAACGGAUCUCUUGGUUCUGGCAUCGAUGAAGAACGCAGCAAAAUGCGAUAAGUAAUGUGAAUUGCAGAAUUCAGUGAAUCAUCGAAUCUUUGAACGCACAUUGCGCCGCCAGUAUUCUGGCGGGCAUGCCUGUUCGAGCGUCAUUUCAACCUCAAGCCCCGGGUUUGGUGUUGGGGAUCGGCAAGCCUUCUGGCGAGCCGCCCCUAAAUCUAGUGGCGGUCUCACUGCAGCCUCCAUUGCGUAGUAGCUACACCUCGCAACUGAACGCGGUGCGGCCAUGCGUUAAACCCCAACUUCUGAUGUUGACCUCGGAUCAGGUAGGAAUACCGCUGAACUUAA
rnacentral:rRNA from 1 species